UGGGACCAGCGGACCCUCCACAGGCAUGCCGCUGAAGGCAACCUGCCUGCUGCCCUUGCGGCAAUCGGCAGAGUGCCCCCUUGGCUUGCUGUCCCAGGCACGCGUUUGGCGUGCUAGUGCCUGGAGCAGCCCUUGUGUGGGACACAAGA